AAUUUCAAGUUUGAACUUGCAGAUAAAAUCAAGUAGUUAGUAGUGAAUAAUGAGUAACAAGUAGAUAAUGAUUUUUUGGAGAUUCCACCGAAUAUCAAAUAGUGAAUUGAAGUCUUUAAAUAAUAAAUGAAUACUGUAUGAGCUAUAGUUUUUUAUCAUGAUCGACUUGGGGAAUAGAAAUCUUCGACGGCUUGAAAUAAAUAUUGAAUAUAGUUAUAUUAGUAGAUUCAUCAUAUUUAUUUAUUUUUACUUGAAUAAAACUCAUGCUGUAAUUUAAGGUUAGAGCGAUUUCUUCAAUUGUAGAUGGGUUGUCUACUUAUGGGCCAUAGCUUGCUUGCAAGAAGUAGUCUUCAGUUUCUUACUUGUUUUAGGUAGUGACUCUGUAAGUCUUCUGUUAAUGUUAGUUAGUCUCUUUAUUAACUAAUUAAGUAUACAUCAAGGAAAUAGGUUUAUCUGAUUUUAUCAUAUUUGUCAUUAUCAAUAUUUUCUUAGCUUUGACUUUGGACAUCUCCCAAGUAGUAAAUUAUGCGUUGACUUGAAGAUCAAAUUUCUCAGCAAUUUCUUGAUUAUAUGGAAUUUUUAAGUUGUAUUCCUUUGAAUAAAUGAAUUCUUCUCAGAUUGAGUUCUUAAGCAUAAGGAAUUGCCUACUUUUUCUUGAAUACAAGUUGAUGAAUUUCCUUUCAUACUCAGGAUUGUUGAGUUCCUCAUGAAUUAACAAUUAUUGAAUUAUUUUCAAAGUGUUAACUGACAAGUUGAACGCAUUGGGGAUAAAUUAUUUGAGUGUGGUGAGUUGUCAAAUUUUUAGUACAUGUUGAAUUAUCUAUUUUCUUGGGGAUGGGUUCCUCGAGUAUAGCAUGUUCUUGAAUUAAUUAUAUAGCAAGUUAUCAAAAUAUGACGUAUUUGAUGAUUUCUUGAAUAUGAGUUUGCAUUUUCUAAAGGAUGAGUUCUCCAAGUCUAAUUUGAUCAUGAUAGAUUUACUAAAGAUUUUUAUAUGUUUUGAGUUUUACAUGAUCCCAAAAAUUUCUUCUGUAAAGAAAAGAAAAUGAUUGACUCUGCAGUUGAUUUAUUUUCAUUUCAUUGAUUAGGAAUAUAGUUUAUAAGAUUCAUGAGGGAUACUUUCUUGUCAUAUUAUCUCUACUCCAAGUUAAUGGUUAAUCAAGCUUCUUAUCACACUUUAUAUCUCUUUGAUCGAGGUUGUUCAAGAAUCUUAAUUGAGGCAUAUUCACUUUUAAAAACUUUAGUUAUUAUAUAAUUUAUAUAAUAAUUGAAUAAUUUUAAUAUUUAUUAUGUCAUCUUAUUCAACUUCGAUUUAACUUUGGUCAAACCAUUGAAUUUUGAAUCUCUCAUUCUUUCGAUUCUAUCUAUAGUCUAGUUUUUACAACCUUAUGUCUACCUUAAUGCUUCUGCUCUGACUUUUCCAAGAAUCAUUGGGAUGACCCCUGUUAUAUGUGUUUGGACGUGCUCGUUCUUGUUUUCCUCAAUCGAUGCCUUGUUAGCUUGUCUUCAUGGGUCAACAAAUACAAUCUUUCAAUUUGUCAACGUGGAUAAGUGACAAGGCUACAGAGGUGGCGACAUCCUUCUAUAUUCUGACCAUGAUCUUUAUUAAAGGUGCAAUAUUUUGAUGGACCAUAGGAAGUACGCGCUGUGGCAUCUACAAUUUUUGUUAAAGACACUGAGAGUAAAGUUUGUACAUCAAGUACUUUUCUUAUAGAGGAAAACUCGAUCUUUUCAUGGGGUUGUAGUUCGACAAGCCCUUUAUUGCUUCUUGGGGGAAAAUCCUUAGUGAUGUUGUAGUUGGCCGGAUGGAAUGGCUUAUCAGUUGACUUAUGUUUAUUAUUGCGCAAUUUGUUCUGUAGAUUUUGACUCCCUUGUGAGUCUAGAUAGAUCCAGUUGCAGGUCGAAGCUGAAUUCAUCUGGUUGUACUCUACAUUAAUUUGAUUUCUUGCCAACCCGAGCAAUUUGGCCAAUGUCUUCGACAACUUAAGUUGAGAACAUAUCAAAUAAGGCUUUUUAGAAGCCCUAAGUGAGUGCUGCUAGGGACAUUAGGCUCCUUGAAGCUAGCAGUUGAAGUCAUGCGAUUGUACUCCAUAUUAAUGUGAUUGUUGGCCAACUUGGGCAACCUGAUCAGUGGCUUCGGUUACUUCGAGCCUGUAACAUGGCAGAAAGGGCCUUUCAAGAGCCCUUAGUGAGUGUUGCUUGGGCAAAAACAAGCUUUAUGUCUUAGACAUUCAAUAUUUCCUUGUGGAAGUAACAAAAUGACAAGGUGACUUUCUAUGCUAUUACCUUAUAUUCACUAUAGUUUGUGAAUUUUUCAAUGGCCUUCAAGUAGUAACAAAUUGCAUGGCAGACUACAAGUUGAAAGUAGAAAAGGAGUUGAUGCUCCCCAGAGGAAGACAUGAGAACUAUUACAGUGGCGCCUCCUUGAAAGUGUUGAAGAGGAACCUGCAAUACGCAUUGUUGAUGUUGAGGAGAAAGUUUUUCUACCCAUUCCUACUUUGCUCUGUAGGAAUCUUGCACUGGCAUGUUGAAUUUUUGUUGCGGUUGAGCCUUCAUGAUCUUCUAAUAAAAAAGCCUUUUUUAGGCUGAUCUUGAUGCUUUUUUGGGCAACGGGGGAGAGCCAUCUUCAUUCUACUAUCCUCUAGGAGGUGGGGCCCAUUGUUUAGAAGAGCCAGAGCAACAUUUCUAGGGCUGAGGUGAUGGCACUACCUUGGAGGGAUAGCUAAUUUGCAAUCUCAAGGAGAAUAGUUGAAAAGAUCGACCUGUAGAAAGGUUUAAAAGAUCCUUUGGGUCAUUGUCAUAAUAGGAUCCCUCAUGUUUUGCAAAUUCUUAAAGGUCACAUAUUUCUUAAGUCACUUGUUUUGCAAGGAACUUGACCCUCUUCCUAUAUUUGAGAUGCUAUAUUAUCAAGUUCUUAAGUCACUUGUUUUGCUAGGACCUUUUCCCCUUUCUUCUUUGUUUUCCACAUAUACACACUCACGUAGCUAAGAGGAUGUUGGAUCUAAUGUUGUAUGCGGAAAUAUAUCAAAACUAUGAGAUAUAAAUUGAGUCCAGAGAGCGAGAGGGAUGAGGAAUAGACAGAAUAGGCCUCAAUAGUUCUCUUAAGUGAUUUAACCCUUUUAAUAAAGGAGGGAGAGUCAAACUUUGUAAUUGAGAAAAUUUAAAGAGAAAUAGAUUCUAUGGAGAAUUCUAGAAAGAGCAUGAGAAAGAAUUCAAUGUGGUAGAGUUUCAACAUAUAGUGCAAGUCAUGUGAUGCCUGUAUUUGACUAAUGACUCCCUAAUUGUUGGUGAUGACUAAGGUCCAUGCUACAUAAUUGGCUACUGUUAGACUGGUCCAGCCGGCCCUAGGCAAGGGAAUGGUCCAGCUUUACUUAAGGCGAACCAAGGUUUUGCCUUUGGUAUAGCCGACUCCCUUGGGGGGCCCACUACUUGAAACUUGGAGGGAAAAGGAGGUGCUGACUAGGGCAAAUUUGUGGUUUGCAUAGGGUGUUUUGUAAUUUGCUUUUGUUAAUUGUUUUGCUUUAUUAUUAUUAUUUUUUAAUUUUAAUUAUUUUGCUUUAUGUAGUAAGGGGGGAUUAGGGUUAGACUUCUGAAGGGAUUGCUGAGUUUUUAUUGGUGCUUAGCGUUCUUGGGCUCUAGUGGCGUCUAGAGAGUGGGGAGAGAGAUCAUCCUCUUGAAUCAAUGUUCAAUUGUAUCUUGGUGUUUUCAUUAUGUUUUGAUUAAUUACUACAAUAUUACUACUGUUUUUCUUGGUUUUGUUUGGAGAUUUGUGGUGAGUUCUCGUUGGUUUCCCAAGAUCGAUAAGUUUCACUUAAAGAUCUACAAGUUUGUCCUAUCAAAUUGGUAUCAGAGCUGCUUGCCGGGCUAUUUUGAGCUGUUUUUGGCAUUUUCUUGCAACAGUUCUCUUCUGAACAAUGAUUUUUUGCUGUUUUUUGGGUUGAAAUUUGGAUUUUUGAGUCUAACAAAGAUUCGUGUAUCAAUGAUAGCAGUUCAAGUGGCUCAUACAGGAUGACCACAUUUUCUUAGCACCCAAUGGGCCUACGCCGGGCAACCUUCAUGAGACCCCAAGAGAGAAACCUGUAGGAGGAAAUAUGGGAAAUUUAAAAAAGCUGACUGAGAGGGAUGUGCAGGAAAUGAGGGCAAAUGGAUUAUUCUUUAGAUGUGAUGAGAAGUAUACUCUGGGGCACAGGUGCAUCGACUGAACUCUUUAGGUUCUCAUCAUUUGUGAUGAAGAGAAAGUUGAGGAGGGAGGUGGGAGUGAGACAGUGAUAGAGGAGGAGGAUAAACUGCAUCUAGACUCGACAGAAGUCUCCCUGAACUCAGUGGUAGGAUUCACUCCGAAUCAUACCAUGAAGGUAAAGGGAGAAAUAACAGACAUGAAUGUGGUGAUGUUGAUUGACAGUGGGGCCACCCACAAUUUCAUCUCCAACUAGUUCAUGGACCAAUUAAGGGUGACAUUGGCGGAUACAGGGUGCUAUGAAGUGAUGAUGGGUACGAGGAAGGUGGAGAUGGGUAAGGGCAUCUAUAGGGGAGUGGUGUUGACCAUACAGGGAAUUCAGGCGAUGGAGGAUUUCUUCCCGUUGAAGCUAGGAAGCACUGAUGUCAUCUUGGGGAUGAAGUGGCUGUAGACCUUGGGAAAUACCAAGGUAAACAGGGGAGCAUUGACCAUGGAGUUGGUGGUGGAUGGGAGAAGAAUAGUGAUCAGGGGAGAUGCGGGGUUAUCGAAAGCCAUGGUGUCCCUCAAAAUCAUAAUGAAGACCAUACAGGAGGUGGGGGAGGAUUCUUGGUGGAGCUAUAGAGAUUAAAGGGGUUUUGAUUGGAGGGGGGUGGAGACAUUCCUCCUUCAGCACAACUGUUGAUACAACAAUUCAGUGAGGUCUUUUAGCCAUCUCAUGGAUUGAAAUCACCUAGGAACAGGAGCAUGGCAUCACUCUGAAGGAGGUGUCGCCCAUCAGUGUCAGACCGUACCGUUACCCUCAAUUUUAGAAGGAUGAAAUUGAGAAGUUGAUUAGAGAAAUACUGGUGGCAAUGAUUAUCAGGCCUAGUAUGAGCUCUUUUUUAACCUAGUUUUACUGGUUAAGAAAAAUGACGAGAGUUGGGGGUUCUGUGUGGACUACUGGGCUUUGAAUAUGGAGAUUGUACUAGACAAGUUUCGCAUCUCAGUGAUAGAUGAACUAUUGAAUGAGCUGUGGGGCAUUUAUCUUCACCAAGAUAGAUCUGAAGUCCGGAUACCAUCAGAUUCGACUGAAAGGGGAGGAUGUUCCAAAGACUGCUUUCAAAAGGCCUGAGGGAUAUUAUGAGUUUCUGGUGAAGCCCUUUGGCCUCACCAAAUGCCCCACCUACACUCUAGUCCCUCAUAAAUAGGGUGUUCCGACCCUAUCCCAGAAAAUUUUUGUUGGUUUUCUUUGAUUGUAUCUUGGUGCAUAGUAGGUCAGAUGAGGAACAUUGGGAGCACUUGAGGACGAUUCUAGAUGUGUUAUAGGAGCAACAACUAAGGUCCAAUUUAAAGAAGUGUUGCUUUACCCAGGCAAGUGUGAAAUACUUGGGACAUGUAGUAUCACAAGAGGAGGUGGCUGCGGAUCAGGCUAAAAUUUAGGCUAUGUUGAGAUGGUCGCUACCACGGAAUCUGAGGGAGCUGAGGGGUUUUUUAGGGAUGACAGGAUAAUAUAGGAGGUUCGUAAGAGGCUAUAACACCAUCACUUGACCAAUGAAAAAACAAUUAAAGAAGGACAACUUCUGGGGGGAGGCGACCAUCGCAAAUUUUGAGAGUUUGAAGAAGGCCAUGACCGUCAUGAUCGUUGUAUCGGUCUUGGCCCUGCCAAAUUUCAGUCCGGUUUUCGUAUUAGAGAUGAACAAAUCAGGGUAUAGAUUGGGGGCAGUCCUCAUACAGAGCCACCGACUAUUGCUUACUUUGGCUAGGUGUUGACAGUUAGAGUCAGGCUGAAGUUAGUCUAGGAGAGGGAGUUUAUGACUAUUGUGCUAGCCAUCCAAAAGUGGCAACCUUACUUAUUAGGUCAUAUUUUUAUUUUCAGGAUGGACCAGCUGAGCUUAAAAUUAAUUUUGGAGCAGAGGAUGGUGACAGAUGAGCACCAGAGAUGCAUGUCAAAGUUAUUGGGAUAUGAUGUUGAAAUCUAGUACAUGCCCGAGAUAGAGAACAAGGCGGUAGAUGCCUUAUCCGGAUAUAUGGGAGAGCUUUAAGGGAUGGCCGUAUCCAUACCCCUCAUGCUAGAUUGAGGGGCCGCCAUUAAGGAGGAGAAUGCACAAGGUGAGGAGAUAGGGAUGAUUAGGGCAUACUUACUGAAGAAUGGGAGUAGCCACCCUGGCUAUUCUUUACAGGGGUAGAGGCGUUGUACCAGGGGAGAUCUAUGAUACCUAGGACGUCAAUCCAUAUUCCACACCUACUCCAUGAGUUCCAUGGGAGCGCUAUUGGGGGCCAUUCAGUGGUGCAGAAGAUGUACAAGAGACUCGCCUUAGAGUUGUAUUGGAAGGGGAUGCAUAAGGAUUUUGAGGAGUUGGUAGCCAUUUGUAAAGUCUGUAAGAGGAAUAAGUACAUGUCCAUUACUCCAGGAGGAUUAUUGCAGCCCCUAGCUUUACUAGAUCGGGUGUGGGAGGAGGUCUCUAUGGAUUUUGUAGAUGGGCUUCCCUAAUCUGAAGGGUUUAUAGUAAUUCUUGUGGUAGUGGAUAGAUUGAGUAAGUAUGCUCAAUUUAUUCCCCUACGACAUCCCUACAUGGUUGCAGCAGUGUUCAUUAGAGAGAUGGUCAGACUGUAUGGGAUACCAGAGUCCAUAUUAUUCGAUCGGGAUAAGGUGUUCCUCAGCCACUUUUGGAGGGAGUUUUUCAGGCUGUAGGGGAUCGUAUUGAAGAGUAGCACCGCUUAUCACCCGCAGACAGAUGGGCCGAUGGAGGUGGUAAACAGGAGGCUGGAGACAUACCUACGAUGCUUUAUUUCGGGGACACCUCAGCUGUGGGCCAAAUGGCUACCCUGGGUGGAAUACUAGUACAACACUUUCUAUUAUUUAGCUUUCCAUAUGGCCCCAUUCAAGAUGUUGUACGGACGAGACCCACCACACUUGGUGCAUUUUGGGCAUAGUAGCACAUCAGUCUCUUCAGUGGAGUAAUACUUGGAGGAAAGAGAUAAGGUGUUGGAAAAACUAAAAAGGCAGUUGUUAAGGGCAAAACCGAUUAUGAUGAAACAGACGGAUGGACACAUGAAGGACAUCUAGUUCGACGUAUGGGAGAGGGUGUUCUUAAAGCUACGACCCUUCAGGCAGAGGACAUCCGCUAACAGGAGGAAUGGGAAGCUUGCCCCAAGGUACUUUGGGCCAUAUGAGGUAUCGAUUGAGAUUACCAUCAACUGCGACUAUACAUCUCGUGUUCUACGUGUCAGAACUGAGGAGAAAAAUUGGGGAUCAUGUAGCUAGUUCUGAGUUACCCGUGACACUAACAAAGGACUUGGAGGUGGUAUUAGAUUUACUGUAGUUGAUGGCGGUUCGUUAGGGAGAAGAGGGGACUAAGGAGGUUAUGAUUAAAAGGAAGAGCCUACCGGACUACGAUGCCACCUAGGAGGCAUAUGAGAGAGUGGUGCAUCAGUUUCCAUCCUUUCAUCUUGAGUACAAAAAGAUUCUUUGGGAGGGGGGGUAUUGUUAGUUCGGUCUAGUUGGCCCUAGGCAAAGGGCCGACCCAAUUUUACGCAAGGCGGACCAAGAUUCCGCCUUUGGUACGGCUCCUCCCCCCCCUCGCCAAGCUAUUUGAAACUUGGAGGGAAAAGGAGGGGCCAACUAGGGAAAUUUUGGGGUUUGCAUGGGCUGUUUUGUAAUUGUUUUGCUUUAUGUAGUAAGGGGGAUUAGGGUUAGGAUUAUGAAGAGAUUGCUGAUUUUCUGGUGGUGCUUGGCGUUCUUGGGCUCUAGCGGCGUUUAGAGAGUUGGGAGAGAUAUAUCCUCCUCUCGAAUCGAGGAUCAAUUGUAUCUUGGUGUUUUCCUUUCGCUUUUAUCAAUUGCUACUAUUUUUUUUUGUUUUGUUUGGAGAUUUGAGGUGAGUUCUCGCUGAUUUCCCAAGAUUGAUAAGCUUCACUUAAAGAUCUACAAGUGUGUCCUAUCAGCUAUAUUGUGCGAUUGCAUAGAAAAUAUAUGAUUUGGAUUCAAUGUAGCUAGAAGUGUAAUGGGUGGGCCUAGCUUGUUAUUUUUUUUAGUUGUGAACUUUGGUCAAAAGUUCUAAAUUGAUAUUAAGUACCUUAUGCAUACGACGUACCUCUAGUCAGUUGGUGCGUCCUUGGGGUCCCUUGGGUAAAUAACAUUGGUUAUUGAGUGACUUCAUGAAUCAUUGAGCGAGCUCAGUAUUGAUUUUUUGGCGAAUUGAUUAGAUUUAGCUCUAAGCGACUUGAGUCUUUGUUGACUUGAAGCUUGAUGAGUUUAGAGUUGUAGGUAGUUCAAGCUAGUACAUAAUAGUUGAUCUUUUUAACCCAAUUUUGAUUCUUAUGAUAGCUUUAUUAACCUAACUCAAUAAAUAUGAGUAUGCAUCUAUGAUUUUACCAAACUUUUGUAUUUCAUCUAAUUUAUUAUGCCAUGUACUAUCUUCCUUAAUGCAAACCUAGAUCUUGGCCAUUAUUAAGAACUUGUAGCAAUGACACUUUCAGUCUUGUUUAAAGUUUGUUAUGGCGAGAUAAUUAAUGCCCACCUCUAUCACUCCCUUUUAUCCUUUGCUCUCUCUAAACGAACUGUUUGUGUAUCAUAGGGAUUUGUAAUGACUUAUGAGAUAGUAGAUAAUGCUAGUACUAAUAAUUGUAAUAGGUGAUAGCGUAUUACGUUAGAAUCAAUAAGUAUCUUAAGUGACUAUCAAGUGCUUAAUAGAUAGCUAUUUUCCAAGAAAAUUAGAUCUCAGCUUUUAUUUGGCAUACUCUGUAAGUGGCCUAAUUAUACUUGUAGAUCGAACAUUCUUAUUCUGUUCCUGUAAGCAUCAAUUAAUAUCUCUAUCAAUGUGCAAACUGCAGCCCACAUUCAAUAGUGUGCAGGCAAUAAUGGCCAAAGAAACUCUUUCAAUAGUGACUAAAGGGCCAGUCUGCCUUAAUAGUGUCGGGCAAAAUUUUGAUAAGCUAUGGAAAAUGCGACAUCUGUUGAAAAUUGACUAGGCUUAAAUUAAAUUGUUCCAAACUCAAUUUUAACUCACAAAUUAGCCAAAGAAGUGCCCUACAAAUCAUAUAAAUUAUAAAAACUCAGGCUGCGGCAUGUGGGAUUUUAGUUUUGUGUCAAAUGACAAGAGCUUUAUGAUGCAUUUAGAUCUUUAACAAAUGGUAGGAGCUUUACAGGGCAUGCAGAUCCUUAACAAAUGGCAAGUAACUGCUUGAGCAUCCUGUGUGAUUCAAUCAAACAGCGAAACAUCCUCUCUUCCAUUUGUGAUGAUGAGAGAGAUGAACAAUAACUUUUUUGUAUGGACAAGAACUUGAAUGAUUAAUAAACAGCAAAAUUUAAUAAACAAGAACCUUAUAGAAGUGUUAAUACAAUAUUUUUAGCCUUAGGCGGAAGGGUCAUCCAUUAAAGACUUUUUAUUAUUAAUAUUUAUAAAGAGUUAGCACGCCGAAUUAAAAUAAUAGAAAAUAAAAAUAUACAGAAAAAAAAAUUACAGAAAAAAAAAUUGCAGACGGCUCAGCCGGCCAUGAAGAUGAAAGAAAAUAAUUGGAAAAAAAUUGCAGAAAAUAAAAGUAUAAGAAAAUAAAAUAGUUAGUAAGCAGCGGAAAUAAAAUAAAAUAAAAUAAGAAAGAAAUAAGUGUUAGUAGUCAAACAAUCUCAAAGGAUUUGUUCUUCAAAGUUGUGUUCCCUGUUAGCAGUAUUUUGAGUUCGAAGAGAAUUAUUCUUUUUUUAUUUAAAGAUUUUAUAUGGUGAUGAUAUCAACCCGAAGUACGGAUACUUCUCCAUUCGUUUCUUUUGAUAUUAUAGUUUUAUUAUGGAGUUUUUUUACCCUUUAGAUUUAAAGUAUGAAAAUCUUACGAUAUUAUUUUAGCACUUUGUAAAACCUCACCCAAGCAGUUAACCUUAUAAAUAUCCCUCAAAUAGCCACUUUCCUUAAACGAGAACCAAAGUGGAUAUUUACUGAACCGAUCUAUUAGUAGACUGAAAAUAAUACUUUCAUACAAUGUGUCUCCAAGAUAGAAAGAUAAUUAUUUUCAUGACUCAAGAAAAGAAAAAGUAAAGAAAGGAAGGUUAAGAAGACAUGUAGAAAGAUAUGGAUUGAAACUAUGAUAAAAGAUGUAUUACAAACAUUGAGAAGUUUUUCUUCUCUACUCCAAGACUUGGACACGACUAGACAACUAUUUAUAAGAGAAAAUUUUCUUUCUUUUCUCUCACUUAUCUCCCUCUUUUUCUCUCAUACAAGCUUAUUUUUCCCUCAGUGUUUUUCUUAAGUUCUUCUCAAGCUCACUCUUUUUUAAAUCUUACAAGCACGCUCUCAUAGGUAUUUAUAGAGUUUAUCUCAUUAUUAUAAACUUCACUUCCAUGGUUAAACACACCUUAUCAUGGUUUAGAAAAUUUAAUUAUAAUAACUACAAAUAGUGACAAAUAGUAGUAAAAAAGAUUUCUUUGUCAUCUUUCUCUUUCAUGAUUUACUUUUAAAAGGAAUACUUGGAUGAGGUAAAUUUCUCAUGUUGGGUAUUCAUCACCUUCUAGAAGUAUUGCGUAUAUAUGAAUAGUAACAGUACUAUUUAUCCGCAUAGUUCUGUGGGGCCCACUAUACUUACAAUUUUUUGUCUUCGAAAUUAUUACCUGCAUAGUUAGAAAAUGCGUAUCUUAGCUGUAUCAGGCUUGAUCGUCAUCUGUUGGCAGUAUUCAAAAUUGCAUUUCUAGUAGAUCAAAUAUUUUCUCUACUGUUUGAUUGAGAUCAUUUAGUUUCAUCAUUUUGUAAUAUUUCACUUAUUCUAUAUUUUUAGUUUUAUAGUCAAAAGUUUAAAAAUAAUUUUUGGCUAAUGAAGUGUCUAAGUAUAUUUUCUCUAAUGGGGGUUUCUCCAACUAGUUUAUACAUAAAAUUAUCCCUUCCAUAUUUUUAGAACUAGUCGGAACUUUGUACUAUAUAUCUCAAGUGAUCUACUUGAGUUAUAAGAGGAAUGUCAAAUCCUAAAUUCCAGAAUUUCUCCCAGAUGUAGAUUGAGAAAUAUUCAUAGUCAAUAUUGCUCUCCAUAAUUCUUAUUUCAUAUAUAUGUUUGCUUGGUUUAAUUCUUUCCUCAUUAUAUUCUGAUUAUGCAUAAUCAAUGUAGACUUGCAUUGCUCUUGUUGAAGGGGUUAAUACAUGUUUUAUUACCCUCUGGAGUUUUUGGCCAAAAAUGUCUAAUAUUAUAUAUGUUCCAAUCCAUACAUAGCUUAGUAACUCAUGAGUUAGUAAUAGUUGAGGGGAUAUCUUUAGUUCUCUGUAAACAAAGUUCUCAUAUGUAUCCAGUCCAAUAGAAGCUCUAAAUAUAUCAUAUUUUAUCUUGCAUGAAUAUCCUUUUUGAGGAUUAUUUAAAUUAACACAUUUUGGUGUAUAUUUCGAAUAUUUUUAGCAAGGUUAUGGCAUACUUCUUUAGCUGUUGAAAUUUCAAUUAUCUGAAAAUGACUUUGUGAAAAGUCCAAGAAAUUCAUAGAGUAUUACAAACUCAGCAAAGGUACUUUGAUAAACCCCUUUCAUUUAUAUUUUCACCUCUUUCUCCAGGGAGGAUUCUGAUCUUUCUUCAAUCUUCACAUUACUUGAAGAACUUGAUUCUUCGUCUGAGUACUCUUGCUUUAAUUCUUUUGCUUCAAUUAAGAGUUAUUUUUCUAUCACUAUUGUUUCUAGGAGAUCUUCUCCAUUUGUUUUUCCUUCAUCUCUCCUCAUAAUUUUGAAGCUGUCAUAACAUAUUAGAGAGAAAGAAACAUGAUAAUUCGGUCCUAUAUUUUCUCUUUUCUUUAUGUGCCUUAUGGAGAUCUUCAUAUUCUUUCCAAAAAAAUUUUCUUUGAUGCUUUGAAUUGUUCAGCUGCUUCACUUCAGCUUGCAUAUAUUCCUGAUUUGGGCAGAGAAAAAGACGGCAUAGUUGAGGAAUUUCUUAUCAGGAUUCUCUUUAGGUUUUGAUAAAAAGUAUUUGAUUAAAACACUUAUAAUCAGUUUCUUUUGUAUCAAAUGAGUAGGAUUAGUCUUUAUGUUCCAUAUGUUUCAAUGAAGUCUUUCUAUCUUUCAUCUAACCAUUCUCUCAUUUUAGAAUUGUAGGCAUUAAUUUUAUUUUUCUUCACCUGAGUUUUCCCUUGUUAUCUUUGUUCUUCAUCUGUCAGAAACAUUCAUAAGAUCAAAUUCAUCGUUAAAAUAAUCAGCAAUCAAAAUCAAAUUUGAUAAUUUUUCAAGAUUUAGUUGUCUAGAUAACUGAUUUUGAUAGAAAUUAUAUUUUCCUAUAAUAUGUUCCUAGUUAAUGUAUAAGCCUUUGUUAAUAACAUGAUCAACGAAUUUUAUCCACCUUUUUGAGCUCAAUGUGUUGCUAACUUUUUUGUUUUGCUUAACAAAUUUAACAAUAACUUCACAAUCAAUUCUAAUGAAAAUUUUAUUUUUAUCACAUAUGAAAAAGAUAAAAUGCUUCAAGAUUAUAAAUGAUAGUAAAAAUUUCAUAAUCGAGAGAACAAAGAUAUCACUUCUCCUUAUAAAUUCCAAAAGCAUAUCUACAUAUCUUUUCAUUGUUUUUGUUAGAAAAUUUAUUUGGUUAUCUGAUACGUAUUCCUCCCCAUACUUGUUCACAACCAUCAAAUUCUAUGAUUAAAUAAUAUGAAUCAAGAGGAAGAGUUAGUUCCGAUAGUUUUGAAAUCAAAUCUUUAGUUUUCUGUACUAGUAAAACAUCUUCUCUAUUGAAAGUUCUAGUGCCUUUCAAAGAGAUUUUGUUGUAUAAUGGUUGGGUGUAUUUGAUCAAAUCCUUAAUAAAAUGUCUAGCGUAAAGGAACCUUUUUAUACUUUUGACUAUAAAACUAAGAAUGUAGAAUUAGUAUAAAAUUGGAACUAAAUGAUUCCAAUCAAAGAGUAGAGAAAAUAUUUGAUCUACCAUAAAUGCAAUGUACAAUACUGACAAUAGAUGAUGAUCAGGCCUAGUACAGCUAAGGUACGUAUUUUCUAACUAUACAGGUAAAAAUUUUGAAGACAAAUUUGAAAUUAUGGUGGGUCCCACAGCACUAUGCAUACAUAAUACUUCUAGAAGGUGAUGAAUACCCAACUUCUACCCAACAUGAAAAAUCUACAUCAUCCAAGUAUUCCUUUCAAGAGUAAAACAUGAAAGAGAAAGAUGGCAAAGAUGUUUUCUUUAGUACUAUUUGUCACUAUUUAUAAUUAUUUGUAAUUAAGUCUUCUAAAUCAUGGUAAGAUGUGUUUAACCAUGAAAAUUAAAUUUGUAAUCAUGGGAUAAACUCUAUAAAUACACAUGAGAGUGUGCUUGUAAGAUAUAAAAAAGAGGAGUAAGGUUGAGAAGAACUUAAGAAAGAUACAGAGAGAAGAGUGAGCUCGUAGGAGAGAAAGAGAGGAAGAGAAGUAAGAGAGAAAAAAAGAGAAAGUUUUCUCUUAUAAAUAGUUGUCUAGUUAUGUUCAAGUCUUAGAGUAGAGAAUGAAAACAUCUCAAGGUUUGUAAUAUACCUUUUAUCCUAGUUUCUAUCUAUAUCUUUCUACAUGUCUUCUUUGUCUUUCUUCCUUUACUUUUUGUUUUUUCUUAAGCCUUGAAAAUAAUUAUCUUUCUAAUUCGGAGAUUCUUUGUCCGAAAGUAUUAUUUUUAGUCUACCAACAGAUCGGUUUAGUCAAUGCCUACUUUGGUUCCUGUUUAAGGCAAGAGGCCGUUUGAGCGAAAUUUAUAAUAUCAACUGCUUGGGUGAGACUUUAUAAAGUACUUAAAUAAUAUUGUAAGAUUUUAGACUGUAAAUCUAAAGGGUAAAAGAACUCCAGAAUAAAACUAGAAUAUCAAAAGAAACUCAUGAAUAUAUGCGUACUUCUGGUUAAUAUCAUCACCAUAUAAAAUAUGAAAAAAAAAGAAUAAUUUUCUUCGAACUCCAAAGAUUGCUAACAGGGAACACAACUUUGAAGAACAGACCAUUUGAAGUUGUUUGACUACUAACAUUUGUUUCUUUCUUAUUUUAUUUUAUUUUCCGCUGCUUACUAACUUUUUUAUUUUCUUACAAUUUUAUUUUAUGUUCAUGGUUGACUGAGCCGCCUGAACGUUUUUAUUACUGUUCAUUUUUUUUUUGUAUAUUUUUAUUUUAUGUUAUUUUAAUUCCGUGCGCUAACUCUUUGUAAAUAUUAAUAAUAAUAAGCCUUUAAUGGACAACCCUGUCGCCUAUGACUAAAAUAUUUUACUAACCCUUCUGUUGUGUUCUUGUUUGUUAAAUUUUGUUGUUGAGUAAUCAUUCAGGUUCUUGUUUAUACAAGAAAGUUACUAUUCAUCUUUCUCAUCAUCAUAGAUGAUACUAUUCAUGUUUGAGUUAUGAGUUUGGUUGUUUUAUCAUCCGGUUGAGGGUUCCGACAUCAGAGAAAACCUCAGGUUCAUAGUUUGAAACACCAAACUAUUUUCCCUGGCUGGGAAGAUUAAGCAGUCAGCUGCUGCACGUACAAAGCAUGACUGCCCUUGCAUCUACUAUUUUGGAAGAUCUUUCAGAACAGCAGACCAAUCUGCAAUGAAAUUUUAUGUACAGUAACAUGCCAAUAGUUCUCUUUGAUGAUCUUCAUUGUAUUUAUAUUCUAAUAUGUAUAAGAUCUUCAAUAUAUUACAGUACUUGACUACUAUUGUUUAUAAUGCUCUUAUUGAUUGUUUUGUAUGUAUGUUAUUCACAUCUGAUAAUUUUUUCUGUCGAUGUUUUCCUUAA